rnacentral:lncRNA from 1 species
GAAUUUUCCUCUUUUUUCAAACUUGAGAAGCAAAAGUGCCAUAACAAUGGUGAAACGAUUCAGAGGAAGAAUGUCAGCUUUUGACAAGUCAACUUUUAUCUCACUUGAAGUGACUGGAAGAAAUCAGCAGAUGAAAGGAAAAUUGAUGAUUGAUGAGGCCUUCGGCACAAAAAGUCGUAUCUAGGUGACACAGAAGACUGAAGAGGUAUACAGAAGGAGAAAUGUUUCUCCCCCAGCAAUGUCUCUUUACCUGUGCCUUGUGAUCAAGAGGGUUUGCUGAACCUUCCUCUGCAGCUUAAGACAUUUGCUUCAUCGGAGAAAAGGGUUUGGAGAAAUGCAUCGUGUCUUUUGCCCAUAUCCUUUGAAUUACUAACCAACUUUUUAGUCCCAAUCAGCAGCAAGUGUGGGCUCAUUGGUUUCCCGCCCUGCCGUCAUUCCUUCUCCUUAGCACCUGGUAGAGGCUGUGGAAAAGAGGUUGUAAAUGACUGCAGAUUCCUUUUAGUUUCAGGUGCUCCCAGAAAUUUUGGAUUUCCAUGUUAUCCUACUUUGACUUGGAAGGUGAUGUUUUAUCUCAUCAAUUUACAUGAUUUUAUGCAGCUAGAUUGGUGUCUCUUCCUAACAUGCUCUGCUAGGGGAGACCACUCUUUGUUUCUUGCUUUCUAG